rnacentral:rRNA from 1 species
GACGAACGCUGGCGGCGUGCUUAACACAUGCAAGUCGAACGGGAAGUCGCGGCUGUUGCGUGGUGCUCGAGUGGCGAACGUGUGUGUAACGUGUGAGUAACGUGCGCUGGACUUUGGUAUAAGUUCAGGAAACUUGGUCUUAUAGCGGAUAGUAACUCAUGCGCCUUGGUGGGUGAUGGAAGGUUUCGGCGGUUGGGGAUGGACUCGCGUCUUAUCAGCUUGUUGGUGGGGUAGUGGCUUACCACGGCGUUGACUGGUAGACGGCCUGAGAGGGUGAGCGGCCACAUUGGGACUGAGAUACGGCGCCGACUCUUCCGGGAGGCAGAAGUGGGGAAUAUUGUACAAUGGGCGGAAGACCGAUGCAGAAACGCUGCGUGCGCGAUGACGGCCUUCGCGUUGUAAACAGCUUUUGCAGGUGACGAAGAGGGAGUGACGGUACUGGCUAAAGAAGCACCGGCUAACUACGUG